rnacentral:pre_miRNA from 1 species
AUUCUACUCCUUCCGUUGCACAAUACUACAUGCCUUCUAUUUGUCAAAAUAUAUAUGUAUCUAGACAUGUCUUAGUAUAUAGGUACAUCCAUUUUUGGACAAAUGGAAGUCAAGUAUUUUGGAACGGAGGGAGUACACA